UACAGAGGUCUCAAGCGUUGUUCGGAUUCAUUGGGCGUAAAGGGCGCGUAGGCGGCCACCGCAAGUCAAUUGUGAAAUCUCCGGGCUUAACUCGGAAAGGUCAACUGAUACUGUGCGACUAGAGUGCAGAAGGGGCAACUGGAAUUCUCGGUGUAGCGGUGAAAUGCGUAGAUAUCGAGAGGAACACCUGCGGCGAAGGCGGGUUGCUGGGCUGACACUGACGCUGGUGCGCGAAAGCCAGGGGAGCGAACGGG
rnacentral:rRNA from 1 species